rnacentral:rRNA from 1 species
UAGAGGAAUCUGUUCUGUAAUUGAUAACCCACGUUGGACCUCACUUAAUUUUGUUUUCAAUUUGUAUAUCGCCGUCAUCAGAAUAUAUUAUAAGAUUAAUAAUUUUCUUGAUAUUUCAUUAAAUAAUAUGUCAGGUCAAGGUGCAGUUUAUGGUUAAGUAGAAAUGGAUUACAAUAAAUAUAUUUAUACGGAUAAUUUUUUGAAAUAAAAAUUUGAAGGUGGAUUUAAUAGUAAUAUAAAAUAGAUUAUUUAUAUGAUUAUAGCUCUAAAACAUGCACACAUCGCCCGUCGCUCUCAUUUUUAAAAUGAGAUAAGUCGUAACAUAGUAGAUGUACUGGAAAGUGUAUCUAGAAUGA